UUGGCUCAGGAUGAACGCUGGCGGCGUGCCUAAUACAUGCAAGUCGAACGAAGUUACUUCGGUAACUUAGUGGCGAACGGGUGGGUAACACAUGAACAACCUACCCUGACGACAGGGAUAACAGUUUGAAAAGACUGCUAAUACCGGAUAGGUGUAACGGGGACAUCCCUGAUACAUUAAAGUUGGGAUACAACGCGACAGGAUGGGUUCAUGUCGCAUUAGCUAGUUGGCGGGGUAACGGCCCACCAAGGCGAUGAUGCGUAGCCGAUCUGAGAGGAUGAACGGCCACAUUGGGACUGAGACACGGCCCAGACUCCUACGGGAGGCAGCAGUGGGGAAUA
rnacentral:rRNA from 1 species